rnacentral:rRNA from 1 species
GACGAACGCUGGCGGCGUGCUUAACACAUGCAAGUCGAACGAUGAAGCUGGAGCUUGCUCCAGUGGAUUAGUGGCGAACGGGUGAGUAACACGUGAGCAAUCUGCCCUUGACUCUGGGAUAACUGCGGGAAACUGUAGCUAAUACCGGAUACGACACCUUGGGGCAUCCCGGGUUGUGGAAAGAAUUUCGGUCAAGGAUGAGCUCGCGGCCUAUCAGCUUGUUGGUGAGGUAAAGGCUCACCAAGGCGAAGACGGGUAGCCGGCCUGAGAGGGUGACCGGCCACACUGGAACUGAGACACGGUCCAGACUCCUACGGGAGGCAGCAGUGGGGAAUAUUGCACAAUGGGCGAAAGCCUGAUGCAGCAACGCCGCGUGAGGGAUGACGGCCUUCGGGUUGUAAACCUCUUUUAGCAGGGAAGAAGCGAAAGUGACGGUACCUGCAGAAAAAGCACCGGCUAACUACGUGCCAGCCGCCGCUGUAA